GGGUUGUGAGGUUAAGCGACUAAGCGUACACGGUGGAUGCCCUGGCAGUCAGAGGCGAUGAAGGGCGUGCUAAUCUGCGAUAAGCGCCGGUAAGGUGAUAUGAACCGUUAUAACCGGCGAUACCCGAAUGGGGAAACCCAGUGUGACUCGUCACACUAUCAUUAACUGAAUCCAUAGGUUAAUGAGGCGAACCGGGGGAACUGAAACAUCUAAGUACCCCGAGGAAAAGAAAUCAACCGAGAUUCCCCCAGUAGCGGCGAGCGAACGGGGAGGAGCCCAGAGCCUGAAUCAGCAUGUGUGUUAGUGGAAGCGUCUGGAAAGGCGCGCGAUACAGGGUGACAGCCCCGUACACAAAAGCGCAUGUGCUGUGAGCUCGAUGAGUAGGGCGGGACACGUGGUAUCCUGUCUGAAUAUGGGGGGACCAUCCUCCAAGGCUAAAUACUCCUGACUGACCGAUAGUGAACCAGUACCGUGAGGGAAAGGCGAAAAGAACCCCGGCGAGGGGAGUGAAAAAGAACCUGAAACCGUGUACGUACAAGCAGUGGGAGCCCCACCAC
rnacentral:rRNA from 2 species